UAGUGGCGAACGGGUGAGUAACACGUGGGCAAUCUGCCCUGCACUCUGGGACAAGCCCUGGAAACGGGGUCUAAUACCGGAUAACACUGUCCCCCUCCUGGGGGACGGUUGAAAGCUCCGGCGGUGCAGGAUGAGCCCGCGGCCUAUCAGCUUGUUGGUGGGGUAAUGGCCUACCAAGGCGACGACGGGUAGCCGGCCUGAGAGGGCGACCGGCCACACUGGGACUGAGACACGGCCCAGACUCCUACGGGAGGCAGCAGUGGGGAAUAUUGCACAAUGGGCGAAAGCCUGAUGCAGCGACGCCGCGUGAGGGAUGACGGCCUUCGGGUUGUAAACCUCUUUCAGCAGGGAAGAAGCGAAAGUGACGGUACCUGCAGAAGAAGCGCCGGCUAACUACGUGCCAGCAGCCGCGGUAAUACGUAGGGCGCAAGCGUUGUCCGGAAUUAUUGGGCGUAAAGAGCUCGUAGGCGGUCUGUCACGUCGGGUGUGAAAGCCCGGGGCUUAAC
rnacentral:rRNA from 1 species